UUUUAUUUAUACCACGCAACUUUUCAUCAGAAAACUGAUUUUCUUAUUCGUAAUGUCGAAUAUUCGAUUUUGUGAGUAAAAGAUUAUGGAACGAGGAAGGAAGGUUAGAAAAACUUCACUAAAUGUGAAAUUUUUACAGCAAAUAUUUGUAAUGGAUGUUAGAAUAAUUUAACUCGAAUCUCAUCAACCUGUUACAAAGCAUUGAAUAUUCAAAUUCAAUGAGAAAGUCCCAUAAUAAUAAGUGCAAUUUGCCAACAUCUUAAUCGCUUCUCUGAUUAUCCCGAGUGAACUCAGGAAGUAUUGGAUUUAAUGAAAAGGAAUGCAAUUAUCCUCAUAGUGGAUUCUGAGUGGCCCUCUUUGGUUGCAGGUUACACUCAAGGACAUUAUGAAGUGAUACUGAACAUGAAGGACUUAGUUGCAUGCACCAAGCCCAGUACUGUAUAUAACUGUCAAAACAUAACAGUUUGCGUAGCAGAUGCAAUAGCUUUGAAAAAACUAUGAAUGAUGUUCCAAAAGUAUUUAUUAUUUAAUAACAC
rnacentral:misc_RNA from 1 species